CGCAUCACCUUCAAUCCCAUGUGUGCUGCCCGCUUGAGAGUGUGCGUCCAAGUAAAACAAAGUUUCACCACUGAUGCUCCAUUACCAGAGGUCAGAUCCUGCACUGGUUUCCAUUCUCUACAUUGCCUUUUCCUGCUUCCAGGUUUUCUGAGGCUUCAUCCUGUCUUUCGAUAUAACAGACCAUCCUUCGGCAAGUUUCCUGUGCCAAGGGCUGGCAGCAGUAUCUCGAACUUACACAGCUUCCCGAAAAAAAGACCUAAGACAAACUCCACAGAGGGCGGCAGCCCCUCCCUCACACUGAUCCAUCCACAGAAUUCUGCCCAGUUUCCUUGGAUCCACCAGCCACAACAAGCCUCGAGGUACCCAUCAGCUUUCCACCUGGAAUCCAACAGAAUCUCUCAUCUAUUGUAGUCUUCAGUGCCCAAGUUUGAUACUUCUUCCUCACCUCUAUUGGACGCUGAUUCAGAAAAGACACGACCUCCUGGAGAACCUCUGCUGCCACGGAGCUGACAUGGAACUGAGUCCUGAGGAGGCUUUAAAUUCUUUUAAAAACAGGAUUAGUGUACUUUAAUUACUCCAUAGAUGAGUAAUGAAUGGGUCACAUUAACAUAGGAUUUUAAUCCUUUUAGAAUUAGUAGAGUAAUACAGACACAUUACAAAAAAUUGAAAUAUUGCCUAAAAGAGAAUAGAUUUGUAAUUCCCACCCACAGAGGUGACCGUCAUGAAUGAUUUGUUGCUUAUGUCUCAGUCUCUGUGUCUUUCAGUAUGUCUCUUUCGAUCUCUGCCUCUCACACACUCACAAUCAGAUCAAUUUACAUCUAUAUUGAUUUCACACAUAUGUGGUAGUGCAGAUGGGACCCUGGAUGCAGACAGUGGGUCUGCAUACUUCCAUCCUGAGGCCUCCCUUGACAUUGGAUUGAGACCAGGCACCCACUUUUCCAACUGCACAGCAUUCAUUCAUUCACAUCAACCAGAACGAAUGGACCCCAUCCCCUCUCCAUCAACAUUAGUGUUGCCUUAAUUCCGACUGUU